ACUUACAUGGAUUCCCCUAGUAACGGCGAGCGAACCGGGACCAGCCCACCNCUGAGAAUCGGGAGGCUUCGUCACCUGAAUUGUAGUCUGGACAGGCGUCCUCAGCGACGGACCGGGCCCAAGUUCCCUGGAAAGGGACGCCUGGGAGGGUGAGAACCCCGUCCGGCCCGGACCCUGCCGCACCACGAGGCGCCGUCAACGAGUCGAGUUGUUUGGGAAUA
rnacentral:rRNA from 1 species